UACGUAGGGUGCAAGCGUUGUCCGGAAUUAUUGGGCGUAAAGAGCUCGUAGGCGGUCUGUCGCGUCUGCUGUGAAAACUCGGGGCUUAACCCCGGGCCUGCAGUGGGUACGGGCAGACUAGAGUGCGGUAGGGGAGACUGGAAUUCCUGGUGUAGCGGUGAAAUGCGUCGAUAUCGAGGAGACAGCGCAGUAGGCGAAGCUCGAU
rnacentral:rRNA from 1 species